CCCACACACAGACAGUUCUCCAACCCCAGGACAGUUCUCUGGACCUCCUCUGGACUCAUGGACUCUCUGACAGCAGGUCAGUGAACUCAGCCUCGUAGACACAGGUCUUCAGCAAAUGGGCUUUGACUUCCAAUUGCCCUUCGGGCUUUGUUUGAUCUUCGAUAUUAAACCCAGGACUAGCCGAUGACAGGAUCCUGAACUCCAGCCCUCGUAUUUUAAUACUGUGCUUCAGGGUUCUUUUGAAGACCCUGACCUGGAGUUACACACAGGCUUCAGUUCUUUGCGGAUUGGGACCCGUUCUUGGGGUUUCAUAACCAGCCAUUGUGUGGCACGCCAAGGGUUCGGCCUGAGAGAACGGCUCGUAUUUGGAAGCCUAAGAUCUCGGGGCUCUGAAGACGGGCGAAUCGAGGGUCGGUGUCACAGCAGGAGAUCUGUAUGUCGUCGGGGGAGCCGGAAAAUCUACAGCUGCUGUGGGCCCGAAGUCCUGAGAUCUUUGCGAUCUUCAGGCACAGAGCUCGAAAAAAGUGAUGUAACGGACUUUUAAUAUGAUAAACCAGUGAGUUGUUUUUAUGCCUCCUUGCUUGCUGGGAAAAUAAAAACUCCUUCCUCUCCCUGAUCAGGCAGAGAGAGAGAGAGAGCCAGUGGGUUGUCGAAUGCCGGAUGAAACACAAAGUCUUUGUGGGAACAGCUAGUCUGUGUCUUUGCUGUUGCUUUGCUCAUGUUUGAGUGCUCGAUGGUGGUGCUGAUGCUUUUGUUUUGCCGGUGGGAGGAGGGGGAAUUGUUGCUUGCUGCCACUUCUGUGCAGGAGGAAGGAGUUGGGAGGGGGCUUUGGGGUUCUCAUGUUUUACUGCCGUUCAUUCUUUGGGGCAAUUCUCUGUUUUUGUGGAUGUUUGUGAAGAAGAAGCGUUUCAGGAUGUAUAUUGUAUACAUUUCUCUGACAUUAAAUUGGACCUUUGAACCUUUGAA